rnacentral:tRNA from 2 species
GCGCGCGUAGUCCAGCGGCAAGACGCCCCCAGAGAGCGGGGGAGACGCGGGUUCGACUCCCGUCGCGCGCA